rnacentral:lncRNA from 10 species
GCCUGGCCUCUGCAGUGUGACAGUGAGAUGAUUUCCAUCAGCAUCCAACACCAGCAAUGACUGAGGUUAUUCAGGCCAAGAGAUCUUCCCUAAAUAGUAUUUUGUGACUCAAAAUAAUCCAAAGAGCCUCCCCACACUUCAAGGUGACUUUCUACAAGGCUUCUAUUUCCUGAUAGAUCAUUGUGAGGGAUCCAGAGAAAGGUUAGAAAGAGAAAGGUUAGAAAGGUAGUGUGGUAGGCUGAAAUGUCCCCCCAAAAGUGUCCAUGUUCUAACCCCCAGAACCUGUGAAUAUGUUACCUUACAGGGUAAAAGGGAUUUGAAAAUGUGAUUGAAUUACGAAUCUUGAGAUGAGGCCAGGCGAGGUGGCUCACGCCUGUAAUCCCAGCACUUUGGAAGGCCAAGGCGGGUGGAUCACUUGAGGUCAGGAGUUUGAGACCAGCCUGGCCAACAUGGUGAAAACCCAUCUCUAGUAAAAAUACAAAAAAUCAGCCAGGCGUGGUGGUGCCCACCUGUAAUCCCAGCUACUUGGGAGGCUGAGGCAGGAGAAUCACUUGAACCUGGGAGGUAGAG